rnacentral:rRNA from 1 species
UACGGAGGGGGCUAGCGUUGUUCGGAAUUACUGGGCGUAAAGCGUACGUAGGCGGCUUUGUAAGUUAGAGGUGAAAGCCCGGGGCUCAACCCCGGAAUUGCCUUUAAGACUGCAUCGCUUGAACGUCGGAGAGGUGAGUGGAAUUCCGAGUGUAGAGGUGAAAUUCGUAGAUAUUCGGAAGAACACCAGUGGCGAAGGCGGCUCACUGGACGACUGUUGACGCUGAGGUGCGAAAGCGUGGGGAGCAAACAGG